rnacentral:tRNA from 1 species
GGGGCGGUAGCUCAGCUGGUCAGAGCAGCGGACUCAUAACCCGUCAGGUCGUGGGUUCGAACCCCACCCGCCCCACCA